rnacentral:rRNA from 1 species
AUUGAACGCUGGCGGAAUGCUUUACACAUGCAAGUCGAGCGGCAGCGCGGGGGCAACCCUGGCGGCGAGCGGCGAACGGGUGAGUAAUACAUCGGAACGUGUCCUUAAGUGGGGGAUAGCUCGGCGAAAGCCGGAUUAAUACCGCAUAAGCUCUGAGGAGGAAAGCGGGGGCUCCGUAAGGACCUCGCGCUGUUGGAGCGGCCGAUGUCGGAUUAGCUAGUUGGUGGGGUAAAGGCCCACCAAGGCGACGAUCCGUAGCUGGUCUGAGAGGAUGAUCAGCCACACUGGAACUGAGACACGGUCCAGACUCCUACGGGAGGCAGCAGUGGGGAAUUUUUCGCAAUGGGGGAACCCUGACGAAGCAACGCCGCGUGGAGGAUGAAGGCCUC